GGGUGAUCCGCCCGCCUCUGCCUCCUAAAGUGCUGGGAUUACAGGUGUGAGCCACCACGCCCAGCCUAGAAAUUAAUUUAUAAAUUUUAUUUUAUUGCUGGUUAAAAGAGUUCUUUCAGAUAAAACAAAAGUCUUUGGUGUAAGCAAUAUGAUCAUACAAAUGGAUAUUGUACUUUUUAAAAAAACAAAAGAAAACGCAGGUUUAAGGAGAGAAGGGAUGGAUAUACUACUUCUGUCUUUCCUAUCUUCUGCCAUAUUCUGAGCUUUGUGUAUAUUCCCCUGAGGAGCAGGCUAGUGAUAACUUAAACUUGCAGUUAUAUAUUUCUGAUUAAGUUGUUACUUAUGAUUCUAGAUAGAAGAAUAAAGAAGUAAAAUUAGAUUUCUUAAUUUGAUAUAUUUAAGUCCUUUAUUUUGAUCUAUUUGAUAAAACAGUAAUCUUUCAGUACUAGCCCUGUUACACAUACUAAUAAUAUCUAUCAAAUAGGGUUGUGGUGAGGAUUAGAACAAAUAAUAAAUGUUAAGUGUUUAGUGCCAUGCCCUGAACUUAACACAUGCUUAUUAAAUAUUAACUAUUGCUGUUACCAUUAUCACCAUCAUUAAUAAACAUCUAUAUUAUAUAUCCCCAUGACCGAAUGUACAGCAUAAAGCAUAAAUAGUAAAAUUACCCAAAGACAAAGAGGAAUGGGAAGGUCCAGUUGAUUAACCUCUUGUUUAGAGGAGCAGAUUAUUCCAGGGGUUAGGAAAUACUUUCCUGUAAGGCAUGUUUAACUUUCAUUUAUGGAUUGAUGGCAAUAUAAAUACCGCUUUUGACAUGAGAAAGAUAUAAUAAUGGCAUUACAUCAAUUAUAAAUUUCAUGAGGGCAGGGACUGUGUUUGAUUUACCUUAUGUCCUUAGUUCCCAUUUUAAUGUCUGGCUCAUGGAAGGCACUCCAUUAAGUAUUUGUUGUCAUCUGUCUAUGUUUUCUUCUUUGUCUUUCUUUAGCUUCUAAAAAGAGUUAUUGUUUUUAUAUUCAUAAUUUCUUAUUUCAUCAGUAAUGUGACUCCCCUAGAAUUAUUAGUUAAAAUACAGAUCUUUCUUGGAAAGAGACUGUUUGAAGCAAAUGACUUGGGAGAAAACUUAACAUUCAGGUUUAAGGUGUUUCUGUACAAAGACUCAUAUUUGAUCCUAAAAAACAAAAUAACUUAUUUUCAUUUGUAUAUAUGUUAGAAAAUUCCUAAUGUUUAACACUUAAGUUGCGUUGUGUUCUGGUGUAUAUAUUAUAAUGGAAAAAUCUGUAGCCUAAAAGGCACUGCUUUCAAUUAGAUAUUUAAGAAACACUUUUUACUCUCCUAUUUUAAAGGAAAACUUUACAUAGCCCAUUUAUCUUCAUGUCUUUUUGAGCCAGCAAAACAUUUACAACUAUUGAAAAUAAGGUGUUUUUCAGAAAUCAAUACUGAUCAAAAAGAAGUAUAGCUACUGUGACAAACUUAGGUAAAUAGUUUUAUUUGUUAAGGAAAAAGUCUGUCUUAUGGAGUUGUAUAUAAAGUACUAAAUUGAAUAUAUAGUUAUAUGUUUGUGUUCCUAUUGCAUACUAGAGUCUGGAUGUACAUAGACUCAGCAUAAUUCGUUAUGGUCCAGAGGAAUAUAUAUUUUAAGAUGGACUCUUAGUCCUAAGAGUGAGAGGUGAUCCUACAACCAGUGGCUUGCUUGGUUGUAGGAUCAGAUGCGAUUAAGUUCAGAUAGGAGACAUUUUGAACUUCUCUGGUUGUAGAGAUGCUGCCUCUUUAUUUCCUACAAAUAUACAGUGUACUUUGGAUGUCUUCUGAGGCAGAGUAGAACUAGAGCGACCUCUUGCAACAGGAAUUGGGGUCUGGAGAUAUAUCCUACCCAGCAGCACUAUUAUAAGUAUUUUGGUUUUGGUAGUAAAUUUCCUUACAGUACACAGCCAUACCUUGAAUAUAUCGUGGGUUUGGCAUCAGACUACCACAAUAAAGUAACUAUUGCAAUAAUGUGAGUCAUACAUUUUUUUGAUUUCCCAGUGCGUAUAAAGGUUAUGUUUAUACUAUACAGUAGUCUAUUAAGUGUGCAAUAAUAUUAUGCCUAAGAAAGCAAUGUACAUACCUUAACUUAAAUUUUUUUAUUGCUAAAAAUGCUAAUGAUCAUCUGAGCCUUCAGUGAGUCAUAAGCUUUUUGUUGGUAGAGGGUCCUCUCUCAGUGUUGAUUGCUGCUGACUGCUCAGGAUGGUGGUUGCUAAAAGUUGGAGUGGCUGUAUCAAUUUCUUAAAAUAAGACAACAAUAAAGUUCAUUGAUUGAUGCUUGAAUCAGUUUACUCUUCCUUUCAAGAAAGAUUUCUCUGUAGAAUAUCAUGCUACUUAAUAGCAUUUUACUCACAGUAGAACUUCUUUUAAAAUUGGGAUCAGUCCUCUGAAACCCUGCUACUGCUUUAUCAACUAAGUUUAUGAAAUAUUCUAAAUCCUUUGUUGUCAUUUCAACAAUGUUCUUAGCAUCCUCAACAGGAGUAGUUUCCAUCUCAAGAAAAUAACUCCUUUGCUCAUUCAUCAUUACCUAGCUCAUACCUUAUCCCUCAUUUGUUCAAGUUUGGUCAUGAGAUUGUAACAAUUCAGUCACAUCUUUAGGUUCCACAACUAACUCUAGUUUUCUUGCUAUUUGUGUCAUAUCUACAGUUACUUCCUCCACUGAAGUCUUAAAAUCUUCAAAGUAAUCUAUGAGGGUUAGAAUCUUCUUCACCCCUGUCAGUGUUGAUGUUUGGACCUCCUACCAUGAAUCAGAAAUAUUCUCAAUGGCAUCUAGAAUGGUAAAUUAUUUCCAGAAAGAUUUCAGUUUCCUUUAUCCAGAUCCAUCAAAGGAAUCACAAUCUAUGACAGAAAUAGCUGUACGAAAUGUAUUUCUUAAAUAGUGAGACCUGAAAGUUGAAAUUAUUCCUUGAUCUGUGGGCUGCAGACUGGAUGCUGUAUUAAUAGGCAUGAAAACAACAUUAAUCUCCUUGUACAUCUUCACCAGAGCUCUUGGGUGGCCAGGGGCUUUGUCAAUGAACAGUAAUAUUUUUAAAGGAAUCUUUUCUUCUGAGCAGUAGUUCUUAACAGAGGGCUUAAAAUAUUCAGUAAGCCAUGCUAUAAACAGAUGUGCUAUCAUCCAGACCUGUUGGUCCAUUUCUAGAGCACAGGCAGAGUAGAUUAAGCAUAACUUUUGAGGGUCCCAGGAUUUUCAGAAUGGCCAGUGAGCACUGGCUUCAACUUAGAAAGUUGCCAGCUGCAUUAGCCCCUACCAAGAGACGCAGCCUGUCCUUUGAAGCUUUGAAACCAGGCACUGACUUCUGCUCUUUAGCUAUGAAAGUCUGAUGUGCCAUUUCCCCCACACCCAGUAUGAGGCUGUUUUGUCUACAUGGAAAAUCUGUUGUUCAGGGUAGCCACCUUAAUCAGUGAUCUUAGGUAGAUCUUCUGAGUAACUUGCUGUAGCAUCUUGCUGUGCUUGCUGCUUCACUUGCACUUUUAUGGAAUAGCUUCUUUCCUUAUACCUCAUGAAGCCACCUUUGCGAGCUUCCAACUUUUCUUCUACAGCUUUCUCUCCUCUCUCUGCCUUCAUAGAAUUGAAGAGAGUUGGGGCCUUGCUCUGGAUUAGGAUUCGACUUUAAGGUAAUGUUGUGGCUGGUUUGGUCUUCUGUCCAGACAUUUGGUCUCCUUAUCAGCAAUAAGGCUGUUUUGCUUUGUUAGCAUUCGUGUGUUCACUGGGGUGGCACAUUUAAUUUCCUUCAAGAAUUUUUCUUUGUAUUCACAGCUUGACUGUUUGGUGCAAGAGGCCUAGUUUUCGGCCUGAUUCAGCUUUUGAUAUGCCUUCCACAUUAAGCUUAAUCAUUUGUAGCUUUUGAUUUAAAGUGAAAGAUGUGUGACUGUUCUUUCUUGAACAUUUAGAAGCCAUUGUAGGGUUAUUUCUUUUUAUUUCCAUUUUUUUCUCUAACCUGAUUCAGAGAAAUCUAGAGUUAUUAACUUUCAUAUUUUUGUGUAUCAGGGAAUAAGGAGUCCAGAGACAGGCAGAAAGACAGGGGAAUGGCUGUCGUGGUGAAACAGUCAGAAUACAUAGAUUUAUCUAUUAGGUUUGACAUCUUAUAGGACUGCAGUUUGUGGUGCCUAAAUAGUAAUGUCAAAGACUGCUGAUCAUAGAUCACCAUAGCAGGUAUGAUAAUAAUGAAAAAGCUUGAAAUAUUGUGAGAAUGACCAAAAUGUGACACAGACACAAAAUGAGCACACGCUGUUGGAAAAACGGCACUGAUAGUCUUGCUCAAUGCAUGGUUGCCACAAACCCUCAAUGUGUAAAACACCACAAUAUAUGUGAAGUACAAGCAGGUAUGCCUGUACGUAGUUGGUGCCUGUGGUUUUGUAUCCAUUGAAAUAUACUGUCACUCAUUGGGUCUGCAACUGGGUGUAAUAAUAAUAUCACCUGGUUGUCAGUGGACUUUGAGUCAUCUUCUUUCUUUUGUGAUGGUUUGCUAUUGUCAAGUUAAAUUUUUAUGAGCUUUUUUCAGAGCAGAAAUUGAACAUUAAAUGGUUUAUUAACCAAAAUAAGGCAACUGCCUUUAGACUUUAAUGCAGUCCCACUUUUUUUUUUUUUUUCCUGUAGCUUAUUGUCUUCCUGGUUUAAAAUGCUUAAACAGAGAAUAGUAACAGUAUGGUUAAAAGUUUUGAAGUUAGAAAGUUGGAACUUGCCUUUUUUUUUGAUUAUAUGAUCCUAAGAGUCACAAGAGAAUAGGCAGAAAAAUUACUAUUUUAUCAAUAGGUGAAAGUUCAGGUUUAUCUGAAUUUAGAAUAUUAAAUUGUAUUUUAACCAUGCUGCAUGUUUUUAUAACAUAUAAAUCAUAAUUGACUUUAUACUAUUCUGUUUUUUUAUAAGGUGAUCUGUUGUGGCUGCAAAGUUGUUAAAAUUAGCUUUGAAGGAAUCUCCUGUAGCUUAGUGUUCAUUUGCAAAAUCAAUCACAUUUUUUCUUCUGCCCUGUUAAACUGAUGGAAUCAUUUUCUAGCAUAUGGAAACAUUUCUGGAUCUCAUGCUCUUUUGUGUAAAUAACCCCAUGUGACUCACAAAUGUUGAAAAAGCAAUAGAUAUUUCCAAAUGCUAUUAGAACCAUCAAACUAAUAUACCCUACAGGUAUUGAACAAAAAGUUCUUCAUUGGGAUAAAUGAAAACCAGAAUGAAGUCUAAGUCACCGUUUGCAGUGAAGAUUAGUUACUCUUUCCACUCUAAUUCCAGAAUUUCUUUAAUUUUUGUUGCUUAUGCUAGCAGUAGUAUUGUCACAAAAGAUUCAAGAGUCAUCUCCUCAGGUAACCUAUUGCUACAUAAACCAUUUGUAGAAAAUGCUCCCUGACUUCAUUUAUAGAAAAAAUGAUGAAGUUAAAAACAGUUGUCCAAGGUUUUGAACUAUAAUAAGCUUAUAAUAAGCUAUUUUGAAGUAUCACUGUCAAUACAAAGUACAUACCAGUGUGAGAUUUUAAGCAGUAAUAAAAUCUAUGCAUGGAAAGUAAAUGAAGUGUUUCUGCAAUGUUUAUGAAGGGACAGAUAUAUGGGAAGAAGUGAUAUUAAACCUUGUCAUACAUUCUGACAAUGUACAUGGACAGAGCUAGAGUGCUUAUAAAGAUUAGUAACGUAUCAUUGCAAUAAGAUGUGCAUCCCGUGGUCUAAACUUGUUCCUAAAUGACAUCUUGAAGUUUGGCUUGUCCAAAAACAUCUUUUGAAGAAGGACAGAUGCUGUAGCUGCUUUAAGG